CACCUCUCAGGAUUGCACCUGGAGAGUUUCCAGUCCUCUACCAGUCUCGACUAUGGGACGAAGAGUCAAGCAGAGGCACAUCCAUUCCAUUCCUAGCUUGGGCAGUGGCUAGCGAGCGGAAGGUCAUCCGCUACAAGU